AUAUUGGUCAAUGGGCGCAAGUCUGAACCAGCCAUGCCGCGUGAAGGAUGAAGGCCUUCUGGGUUGUAAACUUCUUUUAUCUGGGAAGAAAACUACGGUUUCUACUGUAGCCGACGGUACCAGAGGAAUAAGCACCGGCUAACUCCGUGCCAGCAGCCGCGGUAAUACGGAGGGUGCAAGCGUUAUCCGGAUUUACUGGGUUUAAAGGGUGUGUAGGCGGAUAUGUAAGUCAGAGGUGAAAUCUCCGGGCUCAACCUGGAAACUGCCUUUGAUACUAUAUAUCUUGAAUAUCGUUGAGGUAGGCGGAAUAUGUCAUGUAGCGGUGAAAUGCUUAGAUAUGACAUAGAACACCGAUUGCGAAGGCAGCUUACUAAACGAUCAUUGACGCUGAGGCACGAAAGCGUGGGGAUCAAACAGG
rnacentral:rRNA from 1 species